UACGUAGGGUGCGAGCGUUAAUCGGAAUUACUGGGCGUAAAGCGUGCGCAGGCGGUUCGUUAAGUUCGUUGUGAAAGCCCCGGGCUCAACCUGGGAACUGCAAUGGAAACUGGCGGGCUUGAGUGCGGCAGAGGGGGGUGGAAUUCCGCGUGUAGGCAGUGAAAUGCGUAGAGAUGCGGAGGAACACCGAUGGCGAAGGCAGCCCCCUGGGCCGACACUGACGCCUCAGGCACGAAAGCGUGGGGAGCAAACAGG
rnacentral:rRNA from 1 species